rnacentral:rRNA from 2 species
CUCUCAGUUCGGAUCGCAGGCUGCAAUUCGCCUGCGUGAAGUUGGAAUCGCUAGUAAUCGCGGAUCAGCAACGCCGCGGUGAAUACGUUCUCGGGCCUUGUACACACCGCCCGUCACAUCACGAAAGUCGGUCGUACCCGAAGUCGCUGGGCUAACCCUUCGGGGAGGCAGGUGCCGAAGGUAUGGUCGAUGAUUGGGGUGAAGUCGUAACAAGGUAGCCGUACGGGAACGUGCGGCUGGAUCACCUCCUUUCAAAGGAG